AUCAUGGCUCAGGAUGAACGCUAGCUACAGGCUUAACACAUGCAAGUCGAGGGGCAGCAUGAUCGAAGCUUGCUUUGAUUGAUGGCGACCGGCGCACGGGUGAGUAACGCGUAUCCAACCUUCCCUAUAGUAGAGGAUAGCCCGGCGAAAGUCGGAUUAAUACUCUAUGUUUUCCAAUGCAGACAUCUAAAAUGGAACAAAGGCUUGCCGCUAUAGGAUGGGGAUGCGUCUGAUUAGGUUGUUGGCGGGUAACGGCCCACCAAGCCUUCGAUCAGUAGGGGUUCUGAGAGGAAGGUCCCCCACAUUGGAACUGAGACACGGUCCAAACUCCUACGGGAGGCAGCAGUGAGGAAUAUUGGUCAAUGGGCGAGAGCCUGAACCAGCCAAGUAGCGUGCAGGAAGACGGCCCUAUGGGUUGUAAACUGCUUUUAUAUAGGGAUAAAGUGCACUACGUGUGGUGUUUUGUAGGUACUAUAUGAAUAAGGACCGGCUAAUUCCGUGCCAGCAGCUGC
rnacentral:rRNA from 1 species